CAACCCUCAAGCUCUGCUUGGUAUUGGGCGCCCGUCCUCCGCGGACGCGCCUCGAAGACCUCGGCGGCGGCUGUUCGGCCCUCAAGCGUAGUAGAAAACACCUCGCUUUGGAGCGGUCGGCGUCGCCCGCCGGACGAACCUUCUGAACUUUUCUCAA
rnacentral:misc_RNA from 1 species